GUGCAGGCCAAAGCCUGGAUAGUCUUCCUUUCUUCAUUUAUAAGGCCCCCUUUUUGGGUGCAGGUGGGCCUUGCGCCCUUUUCCCUCGCAGGUCGUGGACAUACGAGGAGUUCCUGGGAUGAGAGGGACUGUGCCUCGGAACUUCUCUUGGCUCCCCGAGGACUGUUUUACAGGCAGCAAGCGCUCAAUAAUGGUAUCGGUGGCAGUAAAAGAGCCCACGGCUUUAUUUUAUUAACUAUUUCAGCUUCUCCCCUCUUCCUCCUCCUCCACCUCCGCCCAUGAAAUGGUGCACUCUCCCUUUAAGACUAAGAUGGUGGCUUGCUACGAUCGGGACUCCACUUCCGGUGGGGAGGGGGGCGGGACCCCAGCCCGCUCACGCCGGAAGUGGUUUGCGUUUUCAAGAUGGCGACUCCCUAUGUUACUGACGAGACCGGCGUGUCUCCAGCACCAUUGGAAUACUCUGAUCUCAUAGUUCCUCAGCAUGAGACGGUCGACUUUGCUUUGUAUUUUCAAACCAGUUGCACAUCAGAAUCACUACAACCUGGAUCUCAUCUAGGACACCGCUUUUUCUUCAGGGGUGGGAACUGCCAAACCUCUCCCUUCUUUUUGACUUCACCCUUGGAUACCAUCAAGGCCAGAGGAUGGAACCAAGAUAACAUAAAAUAGGCAAGUAUAUCGCCUCAACACAGCGACCUGACGGGACCUGGCGCAAGCAGCGGAGGGUGAAAGAAGGAUAUGUGCCCCAGGAGGAGGUCCCAGUAUAUGAAAACAAGUAUGUGAAGUUUUUCAAGAGUAAACCAGAAUUGCCCCCAGGGUUAAGCCCUGAGGCCACUGCUCCUGUCACCCCAUCCAGGCCUGAAGGUGGUGAACCAGGCCUCUCCAAGACAGCCAAACGCAACCUGAAGCGAAAGGAGAAGAGGCGGCAGCAGCAAGAGAAAGGAGAGGCAGAGGCUUUGAGCAGGACUCUUGAUAAGGUGUCCCUGGAAGAGACAGCCCAACCCCCCAAUGCUCCACAGGGCUCCCGGGCAGCCCCCACAGCUGCAUCUGACCAGCCUGACUCAGCUGCCACCACUGAGAAAGCCAAGAAGAUAAAGAACCUAAAGAAGAAGCUCCGGCAGGUGGAAGAGCUGCAGCAGCGGAUCCAGGCUGGGGAAGUAAGCCAGCCCAGCAAAGAGCAGCUGGAAAAGCUAGCAAGGAGGAGGGCGCUAGAAGAAGAGUUAGAGGACUUGGAGUUAGGCCUCUGAGGCCUUUGGGGAAUCGGGAAUGGACUGCAGAACAAACCGUGGGGCUCUCUGGGGUCCGGGGGAAUAUGGGCAACAGCAGUCAGGAGGGGUACCCCUAUACUGGCUUACUUCCACCUCUUGCGGCCCAGCUCUGUCCUCCAGAGCCUAGCAUCUCCCUCAAUCCUUCCCUUUUCUUCCCAACUUCUACUUUUUGGACUUUCCCCCUCCCAUUCCCAGUGUUCAAAAUCUCAGUGACUACCCCAGGUACCUUUGCUGCUGAUUUGGGUGUCUUGUUUUAAAAGAAAAUCAGGUGGGUGGGAAUCUCUUGGAGAACUGGGGCUGAGGGUAGAGGGAGUAUGCCCAAGUCUUGGAGUCUUGGUUCCUGUUCGCGGUGUUUAUGGGUUAUUUCCCUCUCCAUCCCUCAUCUUUUUUUUUUUUUUUUUUUUUUUAAAAAAAAGCAAAAAUGAGAAUAAACACAAGUAGACCUGUC